rnacentral:rRNA from 1 species
UAUGUGAUCGUCUCUCGCAUAUCAAUAAGCGGAGGAAAAGAAACUAACAAGGAUUCCCCUAGUAACGGCGAGUGAAGCGGGAAGAGCUCAAAUUUGAAAUCUUAAAGGGUUUCCCUUUACGAAUUGUAGUUUAAAGAAGUGUUUUCUGUUGAGGUUUUGGUAAAAGUUCUUUGGAAUAGGACAUCAUAGAGGGUGAGAAUCCCGUAUUUGACCUUUACUUUCAACUUUGUGACACACUUUCAAAGAGUCGGAUUGUUUGGGAAUGCAGUCCAAAAUGGGUGGUAAAUUUCAUCUAAAGCUAAAUAUUGGCGAGAGACCGAUAGCGAACAAGUACCGUGAGGGAAAGAUGAAAAGAACUUUGAAAAGAGAGUUAAACAGUACGUGAAAUUGUCAAAAGGGAAGCGUUUGACACCAGUGUUGUUUUUCUGAAAAUCAAUUAAAGAACUGUUUAUGCUAAGCUGUUUAGACUUUAUCAGCUAACUGUUUAGUUUUGAGCUUUUCUUUAAUGCACUUUUCAGUUAACAAGUCAACAUCAAUUUCUUUUGCUGUAAAAAAGCUUGAGGAAGGUGGCUUGAGAUUCGUCUUAAGUGUUUAUAGCCUCUUGCCUAUGCAGUCGGAGAGAUUGAGGUCUGCAGCGUAGAUCCUUCGGGGCUAAAUGCAUUUGUGCUAAGUUAUAACAUUUUAUAGACAACUUGUUGACUAUGAUUUGUCUUGUAGCUUACUCGCUUAUGUUAUCUUUACCUACGCUUAGGAUGUUGAAGAUAUGCGCGACACG